AACAAACGCUGGCGGCGUGCCUAAUACAUGCAAGUCGAACGAGGAAGUAUCUUCGGAUAUUGUACUAGUGGCGUACGGGUGAGUAACGCGUGGAUAAUCUUCCUCUAGGUGGGGAAUAACCAGUCGAAAGAUUGGCUAAUACCGCAUAAGACCACAAUGUCUCCGGACAAAGGGGUUAAAGGUUUUUCGCCUGGAGAUGAGUCUGCGCUCGAUUAGCUAGUUGGUGAGGUAAUGGCUCACCAAGGCGACGAUCGAUAGCUGGUCUGAGAGGACGGCCAGCCACACUGGGACUGAGACACGGCCCAGACUCCUACGGAGGCAGCAGUAGGGAAUAUUGCACAAUGGAGGAAACUCUGAUGCAGCGACGCCGCGUGAGUGACGAAGGCCUUCGGGUUGUUAAAGG
rnacentral:rRNA from 1 species